UAUAAAUGGAUUUCAUGUCUUAUUCUACAAUAAGAGUUGAAAAGUAAUAAAGUUAAAAAUAAGUUAAUAAAUAUGUUCAUAAGUAUAGAUAAGAAAUGCUAAAAAUCUUUAAAAACUGUGAAAUAUGCCUUUAGUGAUUGCUUUUAGUGACGGAUUAAACAACCAAUAGCUGGCACAGUCUGAUUUCACAUCAGCCAAUAAGGUUGAUUGUCCCGCCCCUUUAACAGCUGUGCUGAGAUUUUGCUCAGAUUGUGUUAGACACGCUUGAGAGCUCAGAGUUGACGGUUGUUUCCGCUAAUAGCCUGGAAAUCGUGUCAAAUUUGAUGAAGAAUCUUGGAAAUAGAAAGCUUCCCUUAUGAACGGCUGAAGCCCGGAAAAAUCCCCGUGUAGUCGUGUAGCAUCGAAGCAUCGGUCAGGUUUUUUGGUUAUAGUGCACUUUUGGCCUGUGGUGCCUCGAAACCACCAGAUCAUCCUCUCCUGAACUUGGAUGGCGAGCCCCAGCCCAGAGGACCGAGUGAACUGGUAGAUUGUGACCCGACUGGUCACUGGGUGUGAGACAUUGAAUGAAUAUUUGACAGAUGUAUCGAAAAGACUGGGUUAUUUAUGUUAUUUUAUUUUGUUGUUUUUUUUUAAACAAAGUGCGCAAUUUUUGUUUAUUUGUAAAUGUGGAUCCACAAAUGUUCACUAUAUUAAACUCUACUCUUUUUCAUAGACAUUGUGUGUUCUCUGUUGUUACUCACACCUAGGCUCCCGUGAAUUUAGAAAUCUUCUGAUCAGGCCCAGUUUUCUCUAUGCUUGUGUAGUGUUGGUAUUAGUCAUCAAAGUAAAUUGAUUUAC